rnacentral:rRNA from 1 species
GACGUAGGGCGCAAGCGUUGUCCGGAUUUAUUGGGCGUAAAGAGCUCGUAGGCGGCUUGUCGCGUCGACUGUGAAAACCCGUGGCUCAACCAUGUGGUCUGCAGUCGAUACGGGCAGGCUAGAAUUCGGUAGGGGAGACUGGAAUUCCUGGUGUAGCGGUGAAAUGCGCAGAUAUCAGGAAGAACACCAAUGGCGAAGGCAGCUCUCUGGGACGGUACUGACGCUGAGACGCGAAAGCGUGGGGAGCGAACAGG